rnacentral:rRNA from 1 species
UACGAACCGUCCAAACGUUACUCGGAAUCACUGGGCGUAAAGGGUGCGUAGGCGGGUCUUUAAGUCAGGGGUGAAAUCCUGGAGCUCAACUCCAGAACUGCCUUUGAUACUGAGGAUCUUGAGUUCGGGAGAGGUGAGUGGAACUGCGAGUGUAGAGGUGAAAUUCGUAGAUAUUCGGAAGAACACCAGUGGCGAAGGCGGCUCACUGGACAUGUAUUGACGCUGAGGUGCGAAAGCGUGGGGAGCAAACAGG